rnacentral:rRNA from 1 species
CCUACGGGAGGCAGCAGUGGGGAAUAUUGGACAAUGUGCGAAAGCCUGAUCCAGCCAUGCCGCGUGUGUGAAGAAGGCCUUCGGGUUGUAAAGCACUUUCAGUGGGGAAGAAAGCCUUGGGGCUAAUACCCUCGAGGAAGGACAUCACCCACAGAAGAAGCACCGGCUAACUCCGUGCCAGCAGCCGCGGUAAUACGGAGGGUGCGAGCGUUAAUCGGAAUUACUGGGCGUAAAGCGCGCGUAGGCGGUCUGAUAAGCCGGUUGUGAAAGCCCCGGGCUCAACCUGGGAACGGCAUCCGGAACUGUCCGGCUAGAGUGCAGGAGAGGAAGGUAGAAUUCCCGGUGUAGCGGUGAAAUGCGUAGAGAUCGGGAGGAAUACCAGUGGCGAAGGCGGCCUUCUGGACUGACACUGACGCUGAGGUGCGAAAGCGUGGGUAGCAAACAGGAUUAGAUACCCGUGUAGUC